GGGGUAAGGAGUGUAACUUAGUGGUAGAGCAGCUGCUUUGAAUGCAGAAGGUCCCACAUUCAAUCCCUGGCAACUCCA